rnacentral:lncRNA from 1 species
GCAGUUAGCUUGAGUCUCUCCCAGACCCAGCCAUUCAUCCACAUCAAAUAAAGACAGUCCAGGCCCCAGCUGGGCCUGCCCCGGGGCACCUCACAACACUCCUGGGAGAGGAAAUCCUGAGUCAACCUGGCUGGGAACCAACUGGAAACCAGGGACUUUAGUCAUGGCUGUCUGCUCUUGGGCGGGCCUUGCUGUGCUACCUGCUUCAUCUGAAGUACCGGUGACAAGUCUUCCACCUCCAGGUGUCUUUCUGUGAAAACGUUUCAUUGCGAGUAGCUAAAAGAAGGCAAGAUAAGGAAACUGAGGCAUGGAAAAGUUACACAACUUUCCCUCACUGCUCAGAAAACAGGGCCCUGGAGACAGAUCGCUACCCUCCCACCUGAGUUCAGAAUCACCCUGCAAACCGCCUCCUGGUAGAUAAGAGAUGUACAAAGAAUCAUCAAAAAGAUGCCAACAAGAAGUGAAAUUCCACGAGGAACUUGAAAAAUAUGUUCGCCUGUCUAUCUCAGGGCUCUGGUUCCAGCUCUAGCUCUGUGUCUAGUGAUUUCCUUUUGGGUUUGUUUGUUGCUUAUCCUGUAGAUCAUUGGCUGCCAAAAAUGAGACAAAGAUGUGGUCCUGGAUUGUACCAUCUUUCUCUGCUUUAAAGUCAGUACAAAUCACUUAAAAACAAAAUGAAACAAAACAUGUUGCCUGGCCCUUCAGGGGAAGCUGAGCCUGCUGGUCAGGAGCCAGGGCCUGGCAUUGAGUCCAGGAGAGCACGACUGUGGGCAUUUCCUGUGGUCGGGAGAUGACUCAGGAUGAACUCCGGCCUCUGAGCCACAGGCAGCCCCGGCACUUCACAGUUACCACCCACACCCCACCCUACUCUGGAGCCUGGCAGUCACACUGCCAGCUACAGGGAGCCUGUCCUGUGAGUUAGGCCUGCUCCAGAGGCCCAUGCAGUCAGGGUUCAGAAAUUAUAUUGAAGUCUAAAAGAAUUGAACUCUUUCUGUCUUUUAGUUUGUGGAAUAAAUCCAAAGACGAGAUUUUCCAGAAAAAUACCAUUGGAUGUGAAUUUAUUCUGAAUUGACUCUGAGAACUAGACUCGUUAGGCCCCUUUUUCCUAUCUGUGAAACAAAUAGCAAGACGUCACAUGAACAAACACUGAUUGCCGAGUGGUUCACUCAUUCACAGCUUGCAGAGCUGCUGAGCCUUCUUUUUUCAUUUACUCAUUUAUUGCUUCAGCAGCCGCCUGUGGAGACCCCACAAUGGACCAGGCACUGUUCUGAGAGCACAGUGUUGAUUAAAACCGACAGGGUCUCUGCCUCAUGGAGCUUACAUUCCAGUGGGAGAGACAGACAAGAAACACACGAACAAAUAAAGAUGUCAGAUGGUAACAAAUGCUGAGAAAAAUAAAGGAUGGCAAGGGGUCAGAGAGUGGCCAAGGUGGGGUGGCCAGCAAAGCCUCUCUGCU